AAGUAGCCCCGAUUGAAGUGGAAAUCCUUUUAUUUUUUUCAAAUAAAAGAUUGAAGCGAAAAGCGGGAAAAAAU
rnacentral:sRNA from 1 species